CCUACGGGGGGCAGCAGUGGGGAAUAUUGGGCAAUGGGCGCAAGCCUGACCCAGCAACGCCGCGUGAAGGAAGAAGGCUCUCGGGUUGUAAACUUCUUUUAUCAGGGACGAAGCAAGUGACGGUACCUGAUGAAUAAGCCACGGCUAACUACGUGCCAGCAGCCGCGGUAAUACGUAGGUGGCAAGCGUUAUACGGAUUUACUGGGUGUAAAGGGCGUGUAGGCGGGAAAGCAAGUCAGAUGUAAAAACCAUGGGCUCAACCUGUGGCCUGCAUUUGAAACUGUUUUUCUUGAGUACUGGAGAGGCAGACGGAAUUCCGGGUGUAGCGGUGAAAUGCGUAGAUAUGAGGGGGAACAUCAGUGGCGAAGGCGGUCUGCUGGACAGAAACUGACGCUGAGGCGCGAAAGCGUGGGAGCAAACAGGAUUAGAUACCCGAGUAGUC
rnacentral:rRNA from 1 species